rnacentral:rRNA from 1 species
UACGUAGGGGGCAAGCGUUGUCCGGAUUUAUUGGGCGUAAAGAGCUCGUAGGUGGUUCGGUAAGUCGGAUGUGAAAUCUCCAGGCUCAACCUGGAGGGUCAUUCGAUACUGCCGUGACUAGAGGUCGGUAGGGAGUGUGGAAUUCCUGGUGGAGCGGUGAAUGCGCAGAUAUCAGGAGGAACACCGUAGCGAGCGCACUCUGGCCGAGUACUGACACUGAGAGCGAAGCGUGGAGCGACAG